GGCCUGGUAGUUUAGUUGGAAGAGCGGUGUAAAUGAAUCACAUUGCAGCAAGAUUUCAUGCACAGGCGCAUGUUCGACCCAUGCCCAGGCCA